GAUGAAGAACGCAGCGAAAUGCGAUAAGUAAUGUGAAUUGCAGAGUUCAGUGAAUCAUCGAAUCUUUGAACGCACAUUGCGCCCGUCAGUAUUCUGGCGGGCAUGCCUGUCUGAGCGUCAUUUCAACCCUCAUGCCCCUAGGGCGUGGUGUUGGGGAUCGGCCAAAGCCCGCGAGGGACGGCCGGCCCCUAAAUCUAGUGGCGGACCCGUCGUGGCCUCCUCUGCGAAGUAGUGAUAUUCCGCAUCGGAGAGCGACGAGCCCCUGCCGUUAAACCCCCAACUUUCCAAGGUUGACCUCAGAUCAGGUAGGAAUACCCGCUGAACUUAAGCAUAUCAAUAAGCGGAGGA
rnacentral:misc_RNA from 1 species